GGAAAAGAAACCAACAGGGAUUGCCCUAGUAACGGCGAGUGAAGCGGCAACAGCUCAAAUUUGAAAUCUGGCUCUUUUAGGGUCCGAGUUGUAAUUUGCAGAGGGCGCUUUGGCUUUGGCAGCGGUCCAAGUUCCUUGGAACAGGACGUCACAGAGGGUGAGAAUCCCGUACGUGGUCGCUAGCUAUUGCCGUGUAAAGCCCCUUCGACGAGUCGAGUUGUUUGGGAAUGCAGCUCUAAAUGGGAGGUAAAUUUCUUCUAAAGCUAAAUAUUGGCCAGAGACCGAUAGCGCACAAGUAGAGUGAUCGAAAGAUGAAAAGCACUUUGGAAAGAGAGUCAAACAGCACGUGAAAUUGUUGAAAGGGAAGCGCUUGCAGCCAGACUUGCUUGCAGUUGCUCAUCCGGGCUUUUGCCCGGUGCACUCUUCUGUAGGCAGGCCAGCAUCAGUUUGGGCGGUGGGAUAAAGGUCUCUGUCACGUACCUCUCUUCGGGGAGGCCUUAUAGGGGAGACGACAUACCACCAGCCUAGACUGAGGUCCGCGCAUCUGCUAGGAUGCUGGCGUAAUGGCUGUAAGCGGCCCGUCUUGAAACACGGACCAAGGAGUCUAACAUCUAUGCGAGUGUUUGGGUGUCAAGCCCGAGCGCGUAAUGAAAGUGAACGGAGGUGGGAACCCGCAAGGGUGCACCAUCGACCGAUCCUGAAGUUUUCGGAAGGAUUUGAGUAAGAGCAUGGCUGUUGGGACCCGAAAGAUGGUGAACUAUGCUUGAAUAGGGUGAAGCCAGAGGAAACUCUGGUGGAGGCUCGCAGCGGUUCUGACGUGCAAAUCGAUCGUC
rnacentral:rRNA from 1 species